CACGUAGGGCGCGAGCGUUGUCCGGAAUUAUUGGGCGUAAAGAGCUCGUAGGCGGCCUGUUGCGUCCGCUGUGAAAGCCCGGGGCUUAACCCCGGGUCGGCAGUGGAUACGGGCAGGCUAGAGGUAGGUAGGGGAGAAUGGAAUUCCCGGUGUAGCGGUGAAAUGCGCAGAUAUCGGGAGGAACACCAAUGGCGAAGGCAGCUUGCUGGGACGGUACUGACGCUGAGGCGCGAAAGCGUGGGGAGCAAACAGG
rnacentral:rRNA from 1 species